rnacentral:rRNA from 1 species
GAGUUUGAUCCUGGCUCAGGAUGAACGCUGGCGGCGUGCCUAAUACAUGCAAGUCGAACGCACAGCGAAAGGUGCUUGCACCUUUCAAGUGAGUGGCGAACGGGUGAGUAACACGUGGACAACCUGCCUCAAGGCUGGGGAUAACAUUUGGAAACAGAUGCUAAUACCGAAUAAAACUUAGUGUCGCAUGACACAAAGUUAAAAGGCGCUUCGGCGUCACCUAGAGAUGGAUCCGCGGUGCAUUAGUUAGUUGGUGGGGUAAAGGCCUACCAAGACAAUGAUGCAUAGCCGAGUUGAGAGACUGAUCGGCCACAUUGGGACUGAGACACGGCCCAAACUCCUACGGGAGGCUGCAGUAGGGAAUCUUCCACAAUGGGCGAAAGCCUGAUGGAGCAACGCCGCGUGUGUGAUGAAGGCUUUCGGGUCGUAAAGCACUGUUGUAUGGGAAGAACAGCUAGAAUAGGAAAUGAUUUUAGUUUGACGGUACCAUACCAGAAAGGGACGGCUAAAUACGUGCCAGCAGCCGCGGUAAUACGUAUGUCCCGAGCGUUAUCCGGAUUUAUUGGGCGUAAAGCGAGCGCAGACGGUUUAUUAAGUCUGAUGUGAAAGCCCGGAGCUCAACUCCGGAAUGGCAU